AUCCAGUUGACGAAUCCCAAAUAGGAUAGAACGCGUGUCCUGUAU
rfam:Schistosoma mattheei strain Denwood, Zambia genome assembly, scaffold: SMTD_contig0026510